rnacentral:rRNA from 1 species
UACGUAGGUGGCGAGCGUUGUCCGGAAUUACUGGGUGUAAAGGGCGUGUAGGCGGGGCAGUAAGUCAGAUGUGAAAUACCGUGGCUUAACCACGGGGCUGCAUCUGAAACUGCUGUUCUUGAGUGCUGGAGAGGAAAGCGGAAUUCCUAGUGUAGCGGUGAAAUGCGUAGAUAUUAGGAGGAACACCAGUGGCGAAGGCGGCUUUCUGGACAGUAACUGACGCUGAGGCGCGAAAGCGUGGGGAG